rnacentral:rRNA from 1 species
UACGUAGGGUGCAGGCGUUAAUCGGAAUUACUGGGCGUAAAGCGUGCGCAGGCGGUCUUUUAAGUCAGAUGUGAAAUCCCCGGGCUUAACCUGGGAACUGCGUUUGAAACUGGAAGGCUAGAGUGUGGCAGAGGGGGGUGGAAUUCCACGUGUAGCAGUGAAAUGCGUAGAUAUCUGGAGGAACACUCGUGGUGCAGACGGCUUGCUGGACCGUGACUGACGCUGAGGCACGAAAGCGUGGGUAGCGAACAGG